rnacentral:lncRNA from 1 species
UCUCAGAUGCCAUUGAAUCUUCGACCGGUUGAGCAUCACAUGAGUUAUGAAUUAAAUCAUUAACAUAAAACCGUAAGAACUACACGCCAUACACAAAAUUAGCAUGGUAACCUAUAUGGAUCCGUAUACCCUAUCCUAUUUUGUGAACGGUCCAACUAAAUUAUAAGAUCUCUAAGAUUAAGACAAUGAAAAAAGAAGCCGAGAGGCCAACCUUAGCGUGCGGAUGAUUGUUUCCAAAGUCAGCAAAUUGCGAUUUAUGUGGCAAGGACUGGCAAAUUCCGGACAGAGCAAGGGAAAAAGAAUAUGUCUUCGUGGAUUGGCA